rnacentral:rRNA from 1 species
UACGUAGGGUGCAAGCGUUGUCCGGAAUUAUUGGGCGUAAAGAGCUCGUAGGCGGUUUGUCGCGUCGGCUGUGAAAACCCGGGGCUCAACCCCGGGCCUGCAGUCGAUACGGGCAAACUAGAGUGCGGUAGGGGAGACUGGAAUUCCUGGUGUAGCGGUGAAAUGCGCAGAUAUCGUAAGGAAGACCAGUGGCGAAGGCGGGUCUCUGGACAGUUCCUGACGCUGAGGCACGAAGGCCAGGGGAGCAAACGGG